rnacentral:rRNA from 1 species
UACGAAGGGGGCAAGCGUUGUUCGGAAUUACUGGGCGUAAAGGGCGCGCAGGCGGUCCUUCAAGUCAGGCGUGAAAGCCCCGGGCUCAACCUGGGAAUUGCGCUUGAGACUGGGGGACUCGAGGACGGGAGAGGAGAGUGGAAUUCCCAGUGUAGAGGUGAAAUUCGUAGAUAUUGGGAAGAACACCGAUGGCGAAGGCAGCUCUCUGGACCGUUUCUGACGCUGAGGCGCGAAAGCGUGGGGAGCAAACAGG